rnacentral:misc_RNA from 1 species
UUCCCUGCAGAUAUCUGAACGUAGUCAAUGAGUUUUGAGACCUCAACUUCGCGAAUAGAAGAGAAUGAUGCAACCCUCUUAGGCCCUAAGAGUUCUGUCAAGCUAAUUCUUUUCAUCUGCUUCCAGUAUUCACCUAGUGGAGAGAAAGCAAUGUCUUGACCACCAUAUGUUACGAUUUUAGAUGCAAGAAGUUCUGGCCUCUGUGCAAAGAUAAGAUCAUGUGUCUUCAUCACUUCUUGAGCCAUCAUGGGAUUUAAUGCGAUAACUGCAGAAAUUUCACCCAAUUGCAGGUGCAUGAGGGUCCAUACUCCUGGCUAGUUCUGCAAGAGCAUGAUGAGGCUGUGAACCUGCUAAAUUGUGCAGGUUUCCAAUAACUGGCAAUUUGGAAGGCCAUGGAGGUAGUCUUUUAGGUAACCUCUCUACAGAAGCUUUAGUUUUCUAGCAACAAAUUUUCAUGUGAACAGGAGCAGAAGAAGGAUGAAAAUGGAUAGACACUGUGGAAGCCGAAGCUCCCACCUUUGCUGGGG